GGGGGCGAAUCAGAUUCGACGUGGAUUUGUUCGCCUUGAUGUUGCGAGUCGAGGAUCCAGGGUUGGCCUCGUAAAACUCUCCCUGGAAAACCAUAAUUGCGAAGUCUCAUGACUUCGCCCUCGCGGCCUAAAUAGCCGUUUGAGGGAGUCGGCCCGGGGUGCCCGCGCCCGGUCAACCGGCUUCAGAAAGCGGGCUCACCCCACAGGUAGGACCCUCGAUCUGAGGGGGACAUCCCAGGAGGGUGUGGCGCCGGGGACGUGCCCCACGGAUUGACCGACCCGGCCGCCGAGAUCAGACUCCGAUGGGCACACUCGUAGACGCAUCAAGACAACGUCCGCGGACGUGGGUGCAAUUCCCACCGCCUCCACUU
rnacentral:tmRNA from 1 species